GUCAGGGGGUCAUACCAAAAGUGGGGAACGCGCGCCGGAGAACUACGUGACGCGAGGCUUGAAUAAAGUGACGGCCUAACCUGGCCAAACCCUCCCCUAACCCGGACGACGCUGGCCAAUUGUGUGACGCCCCGUGGGACUCCCGAUCACAGCCGGUUGUGAUACAGCUCGGGAUCGAACCAGGAAUCUCGGGUGGAAAUUUGUAGGCAACACGUGCCAGGGAGUGACACCACUACAGUAAGGAUGGAAGAAAAUCCUGCUCUCCAGGAGGGUUGGCCAGCUCUGAUCUGUUUCCCAAGUGCUGAGUGUUUGAAAAUGUUCUUCUUAUAACAAUUAAUUUCUCAAAAUCACCCAAACUUCAAGAAAAAUCGAAUGAAUAUCAAUCAUUCUGGUGGUUUAUGCCUACCAGUUGAAGAUCCUUGCCAUCUUACUCUACGUAGACAAAAUAUGAUGCAUUUAUGAGUUGUGUCCCCCUACCAUCUCUGCCAAGCAUGUUCACAAAACUAAAAUGUCAAAUAUAAUAUUUGAGUCCUGGAGCAUUUUAUCCAAUGCUUAUUUGAAAAAUGCAUAGCUUCAUAUGAUUCAUUUUCAAAUACACAAGUAGGCAUAUCAUAUUUCAAAUACACAAGUAGGCAUAUCAUAUUUCAAAUACACAUGUAGGCAUAUCAUAUUUCAAAUACACAAGUAGGCAUAUCAUAUUUCAAAUACACAAGUAGGCAUAUCAUAUUUCAAAUACACAAGUAGACAUAUCAUAUUUCAAAUACACAAGUAGACAUAUCAUAUUUCAAAUAUGGAAUUACACUGUCAAAAUUGUGAAGAAGCUAAAUAAUAAAAUAAAUUUAGGAAAGAAUAAUUACCCUAUAUUUUAACCCAAUGUUAAGAAUGAGAAUUGUCCAACUGAUCAGGUAAAUAAAGUAAAUAGAUAAUAAAAUAUCCUGAUGACUAGACUACAUCCUAAACAAUAUAUUUGUCUAUUUAUUUUCCAACCUCUAGAAUCAAACGUACACUUGGGUUCACUUCACAAUCUGUUGGGACAUAAUUAUUUUCAUAGUCACAAAUCAGGUCACCCUGCCAAACUUCCCUGCUAAAACAUACUGUAGGUCUGUUUGCUGCCUUUUCAUUGUCACAGUCUAAAAGCCCAUCUCGAAACGAGGGGACUAAUGUAAAUGUGUAUUAAAUCGACUUUAGUACAUGCUGUCAAAAGGCUGCAUUCUGCAAUAGGGACGGAAGUUACAGCAACCUCAUUUUGUUGACAACAUUGUACAUAAAACAGCACUGGCGUGCUGCUCUUUUUGCAGUUUUAUAAACUCAGCAGAGAACGUUUUCAUUGUCUCCAUUAAACGCCACUCCAAUCGUGAGGGGCGUUUCUUUAAAACAUACAUCCAAUCCCCAUGAGCCCUCACAUAAUUUGACCAAUCAUAUGCUUUAAUGUGCCGCGGUUCACAGUGCAGUGGCAAAACAGGACAAAAAUGAUAAGAGGUUCCACUCGUGAUUUUAAAGGAAAGGUUCACCCAUUUUUAUGUUACAUUGUUUUUGUGCAUCUCUGAGGGAUGUUCUAUCCCUGUGUCAUUUAAUGGUUUGAAGUGUGGUUGAGUUUCCCAUGUCAAUAAAGCCCCUUGAAUUGAUAUUAGAAAGAAGAUAUGAAACCAAUGAAGGAUUUAUGUAACGCCACACCCAGUAGACUGUCGACCGCGUUCACGUUGUCAUGCUGCGUCACGUGAUUGUUAAACCUAUCGUCACGCAAUCCCUUCUCAAAUCAGUGUCUAUGUCGAGAAAUGUGCCUCUUUUCUAGAAAGUACGUAAUUUUGAGAUUUCAAAGCAAUACGAUAUUACAAGGAGCAAGUUAAUUAUCUCACAUCUCGGAAAAUAUGUGUAAUCUUGUACUUGUUGACGAAAUUCGUGCUCAUCUUGGGUUUUGAGCUAGCGCCCAAUAGACUCCCAUUCAAUCUUUGCAGGACCGCUCCUUGUCUCGAAUCGCCCAGAAUGCUCCGCGCGGGCCAUCAACGUUUCC